rnacentral:rRNA from 1 species
GGGGAAACGGCAUUUGGUGCUUGCACCGAAUGGACGUCGACCGGCGCACGGGUGAGUAACGCGUAUCCAACCUUCCCGUUACUGCGGGAUAACCUGCCGAAAGGCAGACUAAUACCGCAUGUUCUUCGAUGACGGCAUCAGAUUCGAAGCAAAGAUCCGUCGGUAACGGAGGGGGAUGCGUCUGAUUAGCUAGUUGGCGGGGCGACGGCCCACCAAGGCGACGAUCAGUAGGGGUUCUGAGAGGAAGGUCCCCCACAUUGGAACUGAGACACGGUCCAAACUCCUACGGGAGGCAGCAGUGAGGAAUAUUGGUCAAUGGGCGGAAGCCUGAACCAGCCAAGUAGCGUGCAGGAUGACGGCCCUACGGGUUGUAAACUGCUUUUAUGCGGGGAUAAAGUGAGGGACGCGUCCCGUUUUGCAGGUACCGCAUGAAUAAGGACCGGCUAAUUCCGUGCCAGCAGCCGCGGUAAUACGGAAGGUCCGGGCGUUAUCCGGAUUUAUUGGGUUUAAAGGGAGCGUAGGCCGGGGAUUAAGUGUGUUGUGAAAUGUAGGCGCCCAACGUCUGACUUGCAGCGCAUACUGGUUCCCUUGAGUACGCGCAACGCCGGCGGAAUUCGUCGUGUAGCGGUGAAAUGCUUAGAUACGACGAAGAACCCCGAUUGCGAAGGCAGCCGGCGGGAGCGCAACUGACGCUGAAGCUCGAAGGUGCGGGUAUCGAACAGGAUUAGAUACCCUGGUAGUCCGCACGGUAAACGAUGGAUGCCCGCUGUCGGCGCCUUGCGC